rnacentral:rRNA from 1 species
AUUGAACGCUGGCGGCAGGCCUAACACAUGCAAGUCGAACGGUAACAGGGAUCAGCUUGCUGAUUCGCUGACGAGUGGCGGACGGGUGAGUAAUGUCUGGGAAACUGCCUGAUGGAGGGGGAUAACUACUGGAAACGGUAGCUAAUACCGCAUAACGUCGCAAGACCAAAGAGGGGGACCUUCGGGCCUCAUGCCAGCGGGUGUGCCCAGAUGGGAUUAGCUAGUAGGUGGGGUAACGGCUCACCUAGGCGACGAUCCCUAGCUGGUCUGAGAGGAUGACCAGCCACACUGGAACUGGGCCACGGUCAAGACUCCUACGGGAGGCAGCAGUGGGGAAUAUUGCACAAUGGGCGCAAGCCUGAUGCAGCCAUGCCGCGUGUAUGAAGAAGGCCUUCGGGUUGUAAAGUACUUUCAGCGGGGAGGAAGGGAGUAAAGUUAAUACCUUUGCUCAUUGACGUUACCCGCAGAAGAAGCACCGGCUAACUCCGUG